rnacentral:rRNA from 1 species
UACGGAAGGCAGCAGUGGGGAAUAUUGCACAAUGGGCGCAAGCCUGAUGCAGCCAUGCCGUGUGUAUGAAAAAGGCCUUCGGGUUGUAAAGUACUUUCAGUCGUGAGGAAGGUGUUAAGGUUAAUAACCUUAGCAAUUGACGUUAGCGACAGAAGAAGCACCGGCUAACUCCGUGCCAGCAGCCGCGGUAAUACGGAGGGUGCGAGCGUUAAUCGGAAUUACUGGGCGUAAAGGGCACGCAGGCGGUUAAUUAAGUUGGAUGUGAAAUCCCCGGGCUUAACCUGGGAAUGGCAUUCAAGACUGGUUAGCUAGAGUCUUGUAGAGGGGGUAGAAUUCCAUGUGUAGCGGUGAAAUGCGUAGAGAUGUGGAGGAAUACCGGUGGCGAAGGCGGCCCCUGGACAAAGACUGACGCUCAUGUGCGAAAGCGUGGGGAGCAAAC